rnacentral:rRNA from 1 species
UAACUCAAAGGACUUGGCGGUAAUUCAGUCCAGUUAGAGGAACCUGUUUUUUAAACGAUAAACCACGCAUAAUCUUACUUAUUUUUGUUUUCAGCUCGUAUACCGUCAUUAUUAGAUAACUUUGAAGAAAAUUAGUUAUUUUAAUAUAUUUAUUAAUAUAAUAUAUUAGAUCAAGGUGCGGCUUAUAAAUAAGUUAAAAUGGGUUACAAUAUAAUUAUUAUGUGGAUUAUAAUUUAAAUAAAUUAUAAGAAAAAGGAUUUAAUUGUAAUUUUAAUUUAAUAUAUUAAGUUGAUAAAGGCCCUGAGUUAUGUACAAAUCGCCCGUCACUCUCUGA